rnacentral:tRNA from 6 species
GCGGGAGUAGUUCAAUGGCAGAACCCUAGCCUUCCAAGCUAAUGACGCGGGUUCGAUUCCCGUCUCCCGCUCCA